AACGCAUCUUGCGCUCCUUGGUAUUCCGAGGAGCAUGCCUGUUUGAGUGUCAUUAAAUUCUCAACUACACUGACUUUGUUAGUGCAGCUUGGAUUUGGGGGGAUUUUGUUGCAGGCCUUGUAAAUGAAGUCCAGCUCCCCUGAAAUUUAUUAGCAGGCAAACCUUUGUAGAGUUAUCUACAGGUGUGAUAAUUUAUCUACAUCUUAGAUUUCUACGGGAAAUGAGGUUUAUUUCUGCCUAUAGUUCUAAAUGAUGAUCUUGACCUCAAAUCAGGUAGGACUACCCGCUGAACUUAA
rnacentral:misc_RNA from 1 species